AUUGAGAGUUUGAUCCUGGCUCAGGACGAACGCUGGCGGCGUGCCUAACACAUGCAAGUCGAGCGAUGAAGCUUCUUCGGAAGUGGAUUAGCGGCGGACGGGUGAGUAACAC
rnacentral:rRNA from 1 species